UUAAGUUCAGCGGGUAGUCCUACCUGAUUUGAGGUCACAUUAAUGAAAUUUUGUCCAAGUCAAUGGACUGUUAGAAGCUGAACUUGCUGCACGUCAGUAGCGUAGAUAGUUAUCACACCAAUGAACGGUCAACAAAUUGUUCCGCUAAUGCAUUUCAGGGGAGCUGACCUCAGAGGAGAGGCCAGCAAGAAAAGACCCCC
rnacentral:misc_RNA from 1 species